AGUAACCCCAGAGUGCAGUCUGGACGAUGGGGCGGGGCGACACUUCGAGGCGGAGCGACACGUGUCGCCCCGCCCAUAUUUGUUUUCCCCGCCUUUGACAUUUUCCUCCGAGCCAGCAGGGGGCAGUUUGCGUUGAAACAAACAGAACAGUGGCAACUACAGCAGCAGAGUAAUAACGCUAUUCCGUUGAUUGCUUGAGGUGAGUAAAAGUGGUUGUGUAAAUAUCUUAUAAUAUGAAAUGCGAUGUUCGAUCAUUUAUUUGUCCAUGGUACGUUCAAUUUGAAUAAUUAUUGUUAAUAAUUGUUAUAAAUUGCUAAUUUUAUUGUUCUUUGUGGAUUGUAACAGUACACUCUGCACAUGGCUUUAGUUCAUAUGUUCGAUUUUACACAGGUAUGGCAUCACAUUUGUCAAGUUAUUUGAACAGACAUGCAUGAUUUUUGUGUGUAUAUUAUUAUUAUUAUUAUUAUUAUUUUUCAGGAUGACAUGAUCAGGAGGUGGUGGUGUUCUGUUCUCCUGGACAGCUUCACUCCGCAAAUGUAUGUAGCUGUUUGAAUGUUGCUACAUGAAACAUUACUCUGUACUAUAUCUAGCAAUAUACCUACCUCUUGACAUUUGUUCUUUUAGAGCUCAACCACUGAGGGGAGGAACUUCACCAUUCACCAUGUCUUCAGGCAGAGUCCAGCAAAGCAGAUGGUUUAGGGAUGUGCUCCGAAGUUUUUCGGAAAGCGGCACAGUUUGCCUGGCUAGACAUUGUGGCCAACUGGAAGAAUUGUCCUCCUGUCUCCUGACCGGAACAAGUUCAGACGGAUGUACAGCAUCAGGGAAUGCUUGCAGUGCAGAGCACUUUUCAAGUUUAACCCACCAGGGUACAGGGAAGAGACCGGCGUGGUGAUCUUCUGGGCUUUUGUUUACACAGGAUUUUGUUCCAAGGACUGUUUUUUUUUUUUUUUUGCGGCAUGAAACACAUUUGUGUGUUAAGUUCAUUGAAGGGAAAUAGAGAAUGGGCUGAGAUCAACUGGUUUUGAUGUAUUAAUUGAUGUCAUUUAAAGUUCAACUUUGCAGUGUAUAAUGUUUUAAUAAAAAAGCUAUGGCAAACAUGUGCAUGACAACAGGUUUCAGUCAUUUACAUCAGUCUAUCAUUCUUUAAGGUUUCUCAUAUUUGAUGAUAACAUCAUUUGCUAUGCAUUGCUCAUAAUGGAUUCUUAAUUUAGUUGUGACAGGAUUGUGAGGAUUAAUGAGGUUUUCAGUAGUGCAGUUCAGAAAACAAAUAACAGAAAGUAACAAGUGUUUUUGGGCAAGUUCUUUAGAACCUGUAUAGUUCCUUCCUUGCAAAAAGUAACCAUGGAUUUAUUGUAGUAAAAAUAUUUGUUGGCAUAUUAAUUACUGUGAGCUGUAAUUAUAAAAACACCAUAGUUUUACUAUAGUUACUGUAGCAGAACCAUGGUAAAUUUUCGUAGGGGCCAAGGGAAUGUUCAGAAUAUUAUUGGUGACGUUCAGAGACUGGUGACAAUUUGUUACACACACGACGCACACACACACACACACAUAUAUGUAUGUAUAUAUAUAUAUAUAUAUGUAUGUAUAUAUAAUUUGAAUAUAUAAAUCAAGGUACUCCAUGACUAUCUACAUAACCAUACUUCGCAUAAUAUUGCCGUGUCAUUUUCAAACCAGCGAGUAAUGCCGAGGUAGCGUCUACACUACAGCCAUUGAGGGAGUAGACCAUUUAUUUCUAUUC